GCUUUUAACAUAGAAACUUAAUCUCUUGAGUGUCUGAGGGCUGAGAUGGUCAGACUCAUCCUAUACAGUAGACCUGUGUCAAUAACUGUAUUUCUUGGAACCUUUUAAAUGUAUCUGUUAUGUUUUAGUAAUUUACUGCACCAGAGACUUAAAUACUGAUCCCAGCUCCCUGCUCACCUAAGUGUAGGAAUAUAGCUUACAAAGAGGUGUUACUUGAAAUUCCUAUCAAUGUCAGGACUAGGGCUCCUUCUUCUGUUCUCAUGAAUCACAGCUCAGCUUCCCAAGGCUCACCAUGCUGCUGCUGACCAGAAAAAUUCAACAUGUGAGGCUGAACUAUUGGUAACUGACUCAUGGACUUAAGGGCCUAGCUUAUUCUUACCCUUGCUAAUUGCUUAUCUUGAUGCCGUAAUAAAUCGUUGAUUGUUUAAGCCUA